rnacentral:sRNA from 1 species
CCUACUCUUAUCACUUGUAAUCCAAAAAAGCUCCAUUUCUUUCUUAUACGCUAAUUCACUAUUAAAUAGAAAUGUAUAUGCAAAACAGCGAGAAAUUUGUAGAUACGUUGAAUGUUGUUGCUUUCACAUUUGCAACUCUUAGUAGUUGUUCAAAACAACAAUGUCGAGCAAAGAUGUUUGCGAUGUUUGAAUGAUUCUUGGAUUGUAUUUGGAUUCCAUCGGUACUAUGGCCUGUUGAUUCGGCACCUUUGUCAUUUUAGCAACUUUUGUUUUCUUUUCUGUGUCGAUGUAGUUCUCUAUACCAUAUUCAUGUUCAUAUUCAUGUUCAUAUUCAUGUUCAUAUCAAUGUCCAUAUCAAUGUCCAUAUCAAUUUCCCAUGUUCCAUUACAUAUCCCGUGUUCUUUCCUUCUUCCAGCUUUUACAUGCUAGCCCUUUUAUACAAUGGAUUCCUCUCAUCUCGACUCGCUUGAUGAAUGGGGCGUUUAGUUUUUGCAACACAUAUGGCGUUGGGNUAUCUCAUAUCGGGGAAACACUUUCUGCCCACUUUUUAACUUGAACAAAGNUGGGAGA